rnacentral:rRNA from 1 species
GACGAACCGUGCGAACGUUGUUCGGAAUCACUGGGCUUAAAGCGCACGUAGGCGGUUCGUUAUGUCGGAUGUGAAAGCCCUUGGCUUAACCGAGGAAGUGCAUCCGAAACUGGCGAGCUAGAGUACUAAAGAGGAUCGCGGAAUUCCCGGUGUAGAGGUGAAAUUCGUAGAUAUCGGGAGGAACACCGGUGGCGAAGGCGGCGAUCUGGGUAGAUACUGACGCUGAGGUGCGAAAGCGUGGGGAGCAAACAGG